rnacentral:lncRNA from 1 species
GCGUAGCACUGCUUGUAGCAGCGGCAGAACUUGGACAUGGCCGCCGCCGGCCGCUGCUGCGUCGUCGACAGGAGCACGACGACGAGCAGGCACCAGGCAGCGAGCCUCUUGCCCUCCAUUGUACUACUACCGGCUUCUUCUUCUAUCUUCUGGGUAUUUCCUAGUAUCAUAUCAUAUAUUGCCACACAAAUUUAAUUGAUCAGAAUGUAUGCAGAAAAAUAAACUGGACGAAAUGGAAAAUACCCUUGAGAUCAAUUCUACUGUUCGAUGUGCUCCUCCUCUGCUUGCUGAUUGCACAUGUACGUACGGCGGUAUAUAUAGACUCUCAAGCUGAUGAUUUAUUUUGCCUAGUAAAUGAGUAAUAAAUAAAUUUAAAUUAAUUAUAUGCCUGUAACGCACAUGCAGGCAA